CACGUGGGGUAAUCUGCCUUUAGGACUGACAUAACUCGUCGAAAGACGUGCUAAUAUCAGAUGAUGCAGCGGGGCCACAUGGUCACAGUUGUUAAACCUUCGGGGCCUAAAGAUGAGCCCGCGUCCCAUUAGGUAGUUGGUAAGGUAAAGGCUUACCAAGCCGACGAUGGGUAGCUGGUCUGAGAGGAUGAUCAGCCACACUGGAACUGAGACACGGUCCAG
rnacentral:rRNA from 1 species